GGGCCCUUAGCUCAGCUUGGUUUUAGAGCAAACGACUCAUAAUCGUUAGGUCCACGGUUCGAAUCCGUGAGGGCCCACCA
rnacentral:tRNA from 1 species